GAAGUCCACUAGGGGUGCCCACCGGCUGAGACAAGUUUUCUUGAUCCCUUUGAACCUGAUCUGGCUCAUACCAGCGUAGGAAAGUGGCAAUGUUCAGUU
rfam:Bacillus megaterium QM B1551, complete genome.